ACUCAAAUGAAUUGACGGGGGCCCGCACAAGCAGUGGAGUAUGUGGUUUAAUUCGAAGCAACGCGAAGAACCUUACCAGGGCUUGACAUCUGCCGAAUCCCAAGAGAUUGGGAGUGCCUUUUAGGAACGGCAAGACAGGUGGUGCAUGGUUGUCGUCAGCUCGUGUCGUGAGAUGUUGGGUUAAGUCCCGCAACGAGCGCAACCCUUAUUGUUAGUUGCCAUCAUUUGGUUGGGCACUCUAACGAGACUGCCGGUGACAAAUCGGAGGAAGGUGGGGACGACGUCAAAUCAUCAUGCCCCUUAUGUCCUGGGCUACACACGUACUACAAUGGCCGCAAACAACGGGAAGCGAAGCCGCGAGGCGGAGCAAAUCCCCAAAAGCGGUCCCAGUUCGGAUUGCAGGCUGAAACUCGCCUGCAUGAAGUCGGAAUUGCUAGUAAUCGCAGAUCAGCAUGCUGCGGUGAAUACGUUCCCGGGCCUUGUACACACCGCCCGU
rnacentral:rRNA from 1 species